UACGUAGGGUGCGAGCGUUGUCCGGAAUUAUUGGGCGUAAAGGGCUCGUAGGCGGUUUGUCACGUCGGGAGUGAAAACUCAGGGCUUAACCCUGAGCCUGCUUCCGAUACGGGCAGACUAGAGGUAUGCAGGGGAGAACGGAAUUCCUGGUGUAGCGGUGAAAUGCGCAGAUAUCAGGAGGAACACCGGUGGCGAUGGCGGUUCUCUGGGCAUUACCUGACGCUGAGGAGCGAAAGUGUGGGGAGCGAACAGG
rnacentral:rRNA from 1 species